rnacentral:lncRNA from 1 species
CUCCCCUCCCCUGACCCCUUUGUCGUCCACUCUAUUCGCUUUUGUUUCAACCGAAUGAGCACACAAAAAAGCCUGCAUUCCGCCGGGCAGUCUUAUUCAAACGUGGCAUGGCUGCGUUUUCUCAAUUAAUCAGGAGCCUGCCCCCCCACCCCCCUGCCCCUUUCUCCUCCACGUUUUUCUCUUCUCGGCAUCUUAAUCAGGGUCCAGCUGGACUCCAGCUUCCAGGAGAAUUUCGAGGGCCCGACAGACACUUGCCCAGGUGAAAUCAGAGGGCUGUGGCUGACCUGAAUAGAUGCAUAGAUGCUUUGAACCAAGAAAGCAGGACAAGUUGAAAGGCGAGCUGCACCCCGAAAUCAAGGUAUGGCCGCAGCCCCGAAGCCCCCCUGGCUUUGGAUUUCUUCUCCUUCCAUGUCAUAUCUGGUUGC